AUACGGAGGGUGCGAGCGUUAAUCGGAAUUACUGGGCGUAAAGCGGGCGUAGGCGGUUUGCUAAGUCAGAUGUGAAAGCCCCGGGCUUAACCUGGGAACUGCAUUUGAUACUGGCAGACUAGAGUAUGAUAGAGGGGGGUAGAAUUCCUGGUGUAGCGGUGAAAUGCGUAGAUAUCAGGAGGAAUACCAGUGGCGAAGGCGGCCCCCUGGAUCAAUACUGACGCUGAGGUACGAAAGCGUGGGGAGCGAACAGGAUUAGAAACCCUAGUAGUCC
rnacentral:rRNA from 1 species